UACAGAGGGUGCAAGCGUUACUCGGAAUUACUGGGCGUAAAGCGUGCGUAGACGGUUAUGUAAGUCGGGUGUGAAAGCCCCGGGCUCAACCUGGGAAUGCCAUUCGAGACUGCGUAGCUAGGGUGCGGAAGAGGGAAGCGGAAUUUCCGGUGUAGCGGUGAAAUGCGUAGAUAUCGGAAGGAACACCAGUGGCGAAAGCGGCUUCCUGGUCCAGCACCGACGUUCAGGCACGAAAGCGUGGGGAGCAAACAGG
rnacentral:rRNA from 1 species